AUAGUCAAUACGAGAAUGAUACAUGUCCCCUUGAAACAUCUAUCCCCUACACAUGGAUCAAAACAAUUCCAUUGAUACCAUUGUCCAAGAUAUAUCUAGCCUUUACUAGUUGACUCGAAAACUGAGUCGACUCUCGUGUGGAAGUGAAGAGCACAAAUUCCAAAACUUGCAGAAAAGUAUCAGUUUGAAGGAGAUUCGCUUGCCGUUGCCUUUGUUUAGGGUUUUCUUUUUGGAAGAAAUAAUGGAAGGAGGAGGAGAGCCCCAAAUUAUGAGAUACAAAUUCCACAGGCCAUCCAUGAAAUGGGGUUUCCACAAUAUGGAGAAAACCAGAUGAGUUUCUGUCCCCGGCGCAACCUUCUCAGCCUCUCACCACCACCACCAACUCCACCGCCAUGGCGGCGUUUACCGAUCAUAACAGCCAGGUAGGGACCUUGGAGCAGACCCGUGUCAAUAAUAUCAACGAUGGAAACAAUAAUUCAUGGUGGAUGAACUCAGCUUCGGGCAAAGUGAAGGCGAGGAGAAAGCUUAGAGAACCGAGGUUUGUUUCCAGACGAGAAGUGAGGUUGAUGUGCUAGACGAUGGUUAUAAGUGGAGAAAAUAUGGGCAGAAGGUUGUCAAAAACAGUCUUCA